CAACAGCUGUAGCCUUUCCAGCUGCCUCAUUCUGCCUCAUUACAUGGUCAGUUCUGAAUUAUGUCACAAUGCAGGACUAGGCAGUUGCUUUCUGUUUGGCUGUCAAAUCUUAUGCAGGUAAGAUAUAGAAGGAAGGCCUAUAUUUGUUAAUGUGGCACAUGCCAGAACUGCACAGCAGCACAGGAGAUAGCACAGUGAUAUUCUAUGGUCCCAUUAUUAAGUAAUUUCCCUGCUCUUAUGAUAAUUGUGCAGCUACUGAGUGUGUCAGCACUCCAGGGUCCAUUAAUUGUACUCAUAAUGUUUAUCAUUCCAAUUUCUGUCAGCCUAUAACUUCGAAAUCGCACAUAUUUAGUAACAGUUAAAGCAACACAUACACAUAGUACAAGAAAAUGUUCUCACUUCAUCAAAGCUGUUAGCUGCUUUCAAAAUUAUCUGGAUGUUCUUGCCCAAGAAGAGACCUCAAAAACUGCCUCAGGAAUUCAAUUGUAGCAAAAUUCAGUUGCAUCCCUCAAAUUGGAAAUACUAAGAACUGAGUUGUGGCAACUUGUACAUCAAGACUAGAUCCUUCUCUAGUCUAGUCUAGAGUAGAUGCCACAGACCAAUUUGUAAAGAAUCAUAGUCGUGUUUCGAAUUUGCCUCACAAUAGCUGCGCUUCAAAUCCCAGUAUACAAUUUUGAAAAGAAAAGAACAGAUAACAAGGAAGAGACCAUUGGCCCAUGUUGUCAGUAUAGAUACCAUGUUGUAUUCCAUAUUGGGGCAAAGUUGGGAACUGGAAGCACUGAGAUCCCAAACAUCCUUUAAUGAAUUGAUUAAUGUUCAGCAACAUUCAGAGGGCCAUGAUUUUCCACACCUGAUACACAAUGUCAAGGCAGGUUCUUCCCCAUGUCAUAUUAGCUUUAUAGAAAUACUUUGCAGGACUCUAGCUUAGCUCUCACCUUUGGGUUUCUGUUUUUGAGAGCUGCACAUGCCAUUGUGAAAAAGAUCCAACUGCCUUGGAAUCUUGGGAGAUUCAAAGCUAUUCAUGGGUCGGUGUGCUGGACCGCUCUGAGAAAUUUUCCCUGACUUCUUCAACCUGUUUUGGCUCCCCACACAAUUCUGUAAAUGUUUCUCAUCGAAAGGGGACUCCCACCCCACAUUUACUUAAUUUAAAUAUUGAUGAAGUAUAGGUGGCAGUUCCAGUUUGGGCAGAGAAGAUCAUCUUCUACAUUUUGUGCAUGCUUUCUAUUUCAAGCUGUAAAGCGAUUUAUGGUAAUACUGUAUGGGAGCAAGCAGAAAUGUUAUGCACUGAGGGUGGUGUUCAAGCUUUUAACAUCUGUGCGAGCAUGGAAAAUCAUACAUGAUUAAUUUAUUUUCUUUAUGUCUCCAUACUCUUCUCAGAAAGCACGGUUCGCCUGCUUCACUGUAUUAAGAGGCAGAAAUGCUGCAAUUCUUUACAAUCAAAGCAGGUGUAACCAGACUGUUAAGGGAAAUUUCUCAGCAUCCCCUGUACAGCUGCCCAGUCAACCGGUCAACCAGUCAGGCAUGCUCAAUUUUUACAGCUCCUGCAGCAAACAACAGCUACGCCCACAGCAUUAGAUGUUGUGUCAAGCAGUAUGUUUUGGCUGUGUGCAGGUGGCACACUGCGACAUGCUACAAUCUGAGGCCUUUUUUUUUUUUUUUACUCCAGUGAGGUUUGAGAAAGAAGACCCUAAAUGUUUAAAAUGCUUUUAUCCAUGGAAUUAUAGGAGUAGGGAACAGGGAGGAAAAAAUGAGAAGGAAACAUUACACGAGCGACAUGCAAAAUCUGUUCUUUUCUGCCUUCCCACAUUCUAGUACCUGCCAUGGCUAUGGCUAGCUUUCCCCAUAUCUAGACCCAGAAGCCUUCAGAGGGAAGGGGAGAGAAAGCAAGAAUGGAGUAAGCCAAGGGUCCUGCUCUGUUGACCAAGCAGGUCAAGAGCCUCUGAAUGUCUUUACCAGGACUAGCCAAUAUAAGCAGCAGUGGCUGAUGUGGUUGGGUGGACCCACUCUCACUACAGUGGCAUCACUGCAGCUCACCUGUAUGGAGAUGUAGUGCAGUGGGUAGCAAGGAGAAUAGGGCUUAGGGGAUGAACUGACAGCUGUUCCAGAAGUGCUGCACUGGUGCAGCUGCACAGCCCUCGGUAAGCUUCAGGAAGUGUUGGGAUGGCACUGCCCCAGUUGAAGUUCCUUGAAUUGUUUCUGAUGAGGUAAAAGGUAAAGGUAAAGGACCCCUGGAUGGUUAAAUCUGGUCAAAGGUGACUAUGGGUUUGCGGUGCUCAUUUUGCUUUCAGACUGAGAGAGUCCCCGUUUGUCCACAGACAGCUUUCUGGGUCAUGUCGCCAGCAUGACUAAACCGUUUCUGGCACAACAGAACACCGUGACAGGCACUACAGUGCCCAGAAACACUGUUUACCUUCCUGCCGCAGCGGUACCUAUGUAUCUACUUGCACUGGCAUACUUUCAAACUGCUAGGUUGGCAGGAGCUGGGAGAGAGCAAAAGGAGCUCACUCCGUCGUGGGGAUUCGAACCGCCGACCUUCUGAUCGGCAAGCCCAAGAGGCUCAGUGUUUAGACCACAACGCCACUUGUGUCCCAUGCUUUUUGAUGAGAACCCUAUAUGAAAACAAGGUGCUGCCCUCCCACAGGCUGAAGAUGGACGUACCAGUCCAUCAGCACACCAAGGCAGCUCAGGGUAAAAUAAUCUCUUGGGCUACUGAUUACCUUAACCUGAGGUAAUCUGUUGUUUGCAUCUGACUGCCUCAACAGACAAUGGAGUGCACCUUAGGGGCUGAAGUCAAACUACUGGAGAUUCAUAGUAUCUGCUGUGGCUGCAGAGACCGGUAACUUAUAAAUGCUGCCUCCUGUGUUGUUUUUCUGUAUUCGUGGCACCAAAGUGAUCUCUCCAUUGUGCAAGACUGAUUAGUGUGUAUGGAGGUCCUGGGCAGCCCAAAUGAAAAGACACUCUCCCCCUUGGCCUCAAUGAUGUGGUCCAAAGGAAAGCAGAGCAAUACAUUUGGCACCAGCUUGGCUGCAGGAGUUGCCAGAAGGAAGCGUACAAGGUGCCAUUCAACCAACUUAGGGACUCUACUCCAGAUUUGUGUAUACCUUAGCCUUUUCUUUUCCCAAAGAUGUGCUACAACACAACAUAUGCACUUUUUCCUCAAGGUUUACCCCCAAAGACUUGAAUGUGUAUGGCUGCAGUGCUGUGGAGGUAAUCCCACCUUUGUUAACUGUGUAAAAGGAAAGACCUAUGAAAAGCAAAUUAAAUUGGUUGUAUGAGUACCUGGAUCAGGGAGUUUGUGAAGGCCUAUCUUAAAACAUACACAGUGGAUUCUCCGAGCCACAACAUGAAGCACCUGAUGGG